rnacentral:rRNA from 1 species
GACGAACGCUGGCGGCAUGCCUAACACAUGCAAGUCGAACGAGACCUUCGGGUCUAGUGGCGCACGGGUGCGUAACGCGUGGGAACUUGCCCUUAGGUACGGAAUCAAUGACCGCAAGGGGUGCUAAUACAGGAGAAUGUCAUCGGACCAAAGAUUUAUGGCCUUUGGAUGGGCCCGCGUAGGAUUAGCUAGUUGGUAGGGUAGAAGCCAACCACGGCGACGAUGCAUAGCUGGUCUGGGAGGAGGAUCAGGCACACUGGGACUGAGGCACGGCCCAGUCACCUACUGGCGGCAGCAGUGGGGACUAUGAGACAACGACCGAGCGCCUGAGCCAGCGAUGCCGCGGUUGUGAUGAAGGCCUUUGGGUUAUGAAGCUCUUUUACCCGGGAUGUUAAUGACGGUACCGUGAGAAUAAGCUCCGGCUAACUCCGUG